GAGUUUGAUCGUGGCUCAGGACGAACGCUGGCGGCGUGCUUAACACAUGCAAGUCGAACGGAGCACCCUUGAAGGAGUUUUCGGACAACGGAUGGGAAUGCUUAGUGGCGGACUGGUGAGUAACGCGUGAGGAACCUGCCUUCCAGAGGGGGACAACAGUUGGAAACGACUGCUAAUACCGCAUGACGCAUUGGUGUCGCAUGGCACUGAUGUCAAAGAUUUAUCGCUGGAAGAUGGCCUCGCGUCUGAUUAGCUAGUUGGUGAGGUAACGGCCCACCAAGGCGACGAUCAGUAGCCGGACUGAGAGGCUGGCCGGCCACAUUGGGACUGAGAUACGGCCCAGACUCCUACGGGAGGCGGCAGUGGGGAAUAUUGGGCAAUGGGGGGAACCCUGAUCCAGCGACGCCGCGUGAGUGAAGAAGUAUUUCGGUAUGUAAAGCUCUAUCAGCAGGGAAGAAAGAAAUGACGGUACCUGACUAAGAAGCCCCGGCUAACUACGUGCCAGCAGCCGACCG
rnacentral:rRNA from 1 species